rnacentral:rRNA from 2 species
CAGUCGAACGACUCUGGUAUUGAUUGGUGCUUGCAUCAUGAUUUACAUUUGAGUGAGUGGCGAACUGGUGAGUAACACGUGGGAAACCUGCCCAGAAGCGGGGGAUAACACCUGGAAACAGAUGCUAAUACCGCAUAACAACUUGGACCGCAUGGUCCGAGUUUGAAAGAUGGCUUCGGCUAUCACUUUUGGAUGGUCCCGCGGCGUAUUAGCUAGAUGGUGGGGUAACGGCUCACCAUGGCAAUGAUACGUAGCCGACCUGAGAGGGUAAUCGGCCACAUUGGGACUGAGACACGGCCCAAACUCCUACGGGAGGCAGCAGUAGGGAAUCUUCCACAAUGGACGAAAGUCUGAUGGAGCAACGCCGCGUGAGUGAAGAAGGGUUUCGGCUCGUAAAACUCUGUUGUUAAAGAAGAACAUAUCUGAGAGUAACUGUUCAGGUAUUGACGGUAUUUAACCAGAAAGCCACGGCUAACUACGUGCCAGCAGCCGCGGUAAUACGUAGGUGGCAAGCGUUGUCCGGAUUUAUUGGGCGUAAAGCGAGCGCAGGCGGUUUUUUAAGUCUGAUGUGAAAGCCUUCGGCUCAACCGAAGAAGUGCAUCGGAAACUGGGAAACUUGAGUGCAGAAGAGGACAGUGGAACUCCAUGUGUAGCGGUGAAAUGCGUAGAUAUAUGGAAGAACACCAGUGGCGAAGGCGGCUGUCUGGUCUGUAACUGACGCUGAGGCUCGAAAGUAUGGGUAGCAAACAGGAUUAGAUACCCUGGUAGUCCAUACCGUAAACGAUGAAUGCUAAGUGUUGGAGGGUUUCCGCCCUUCAGUGCUGCAGCUAACGCAUUAAGCAUUCCGCCUGGGGAGUACGGCCGCAAGGCUGAAACUCAAAGGAAUUGACGGGGGCCCGCACAAGCGGUGGAGCAUGUGGUUUAAUUCGAAGCUACGCGAAGAACCUUACCAGGUCUUGACAUACUAUGCAAAUCUAAGAGAUUAGACGUUCCCUUCGGGGACAUGGAUACAGGUGGUGCAUGGUUGUCGUCAGCUCGUGUCGUGAGAUGUUGGGGUUAAGUCCCGCAACGAGCGCAACCCUUAUUAUCAGUUGCCAGCAUUAAGUUGGGCACUCUGGUGAGACUGCCGGUGACAAACCGGAGGAAGGUGGGGAUGACGUCAAAUCAUCAUGCCCCUUAUGACCUGGGCUACACACGUGCUACAAUGGAUGGUACAACGAGUUGCGAACUCGCGAGAGUAAGCUAAUCUCUUAAAGCCAUUCUCAGUUCGGAUUGUAGGCUGCAACUCGCCUACAUGAAGUCGGAAUCGCUAGUAAUCGCGGAUCAGCAUGCCGCGGUGAAUACGUUCCCGGGCCUUGUACACACCGCCCGUCACACCAUGAGAGUUUGUAACACCCAAAGUCGGUGG